GAAGGCGGAAAGAAACAGAUCACGUGGUGUAAUACGACACAGUCACGAGACCGAUAGCGAACAAGUACCGUGAGGGAAAGUUGAAAAGCACUUUGGAGAGAGAGUUAAAAAGUACGUGAAACCGUCGAGAGGCAAACGGGAGGGCCUGUCGGGUCGUUCGGUCGCUUUCAGGCGGGCCGGAGACCGGGUA
rnacentral:ncRNA from 1 species